rnacentral:rRNA from 1 species
GAGUUUGAUCCUGGCUCAGAACGAACGUUGGCGGCGUGGAUUAGGCAUGCAAGUCGCGCGAAUCCCCGCAAGGGGGAAGCGGCGGACGGGCAGGAGUGCGCGGGCGACCUAUCCGGGGUCGGGCAUAGCCCGUCGAGAGACGGGGUAAUUCCCGAUGACGUCUAACGACCAAAGGUCCGCCGCCCCGGCGGGGCCCGCGCGGUAUUAGCUGGUUGGUGGGGUGACGGCCCACCAAGGCGUAGAUGCCUGGCGGGUGUGAGAGCACGACCCGCGCCACUGGCACUGAGACACUGGCCAGACACCUACGGGUGGCUGCAGUCGAGGAUCUUCGGCAAUGCGCGCAAGCGCGACCGAGCGACGCCGCGUGGGCGACGAAGGCCUUCGGUUGU